rnacentral:rRNA from 1 species
AUGCCAUCAAUGGCCCUGCUGCGCCACUUCUUCCUCCUCCGAACCAACGGUGAUCACACCUUGACAUGCGCCAAUUUCGUCACGUAUGGCAAGGCCAACACAAUCUUGAAGGCCGGGAAGAGGGCCGACAACUUCCGGAGCAAGUGGGUCAUGAUGGACGCCAAGUGUGUCCCCUCCCGGUUGGUGCUGCCUACGGAGAUGCCCCAGACUGGCAAAGGGUGGUCUUACGUGAAGCUUGCUGACAAUGGGGCGAAGUUGGUGCUCGAGAGGAUGAACACUGACCUGAAGCCGGGUAAUGCGAAGGCGGAGAAGCUGAUGGGGGCACACUCCUGA